AACGCAUAUGGCACCCGAGACCUCGGUCGAGGGUAUGUCUGCCUCAGAGUCGGCGUAAAAACACUCCCCUGUAGGCGUUGCCGCGUCGCACAGGGGGAACUGACCGCUCCCGUCGGUGCGGGUUGGUCGAAGGCGAGAAACGGGGGUACUCGGCCGGAACCGUUCCCGGCUGUGACCGAGAUUUGCUGGAAGGACUCACGUCCUACAUUAUUGUCUCGGGACAACGGGCUACGGAGUUGCCGAAGUCUCCCGCAAUGCAGGAAAGCGUGGAGGUGGAGGCUAUCCUCCCUUCCCUCUGUAUCCGACCUGAGUUCAGGCAAGAUCACCCGCUGAACUUAA
rnacentral:misc_RNA from 1 species